AUUGAACGCUGGCGGCAUGCCUAACACAUGCAAGUCGAACGGCAGCACGGCAGUAGCAAUACUGUGGGUGGCGAGUGGCGGACGGGUGAGGAAUACGUCGGAAUCUGCCCAGUCGUGGGGGAUAACUAGCCGAAAGGUUAGCUAAUACCGCAUACGACCGAGAGGUGAAAGCGGGGGACCGCAAGGCCUCGCGCGAUUGGAUGAGCCGACGUCGGAUUAGCUAGUUGGAGGGGUAAAGGCCCACCAAGGCGACGAUCCGUAGCUGGUCUGAGAGGAUGAUCAGCCACACUGGAACUGAGACACGGUCCAGACUCCUACGGGAGGCAGCAGUGGGGAAUAUUGGACAAUGGGCGCAAGCCUGAUCCAGCAAUGCCGCGUGUGUGAAGAAGGCCUCCGGGUUGUAAAGCACUUUUAUCAGGAACGAAAAGCGUUGGAUUAAUACUCUGACGUGCUGACGGUACCUGAGGAAUAAGCACCGGCUAACUUCGU
rnacentral:rRNA from 1 species